rnacentral:RNase_P_RNA from 2 species
GACAGAUGAAAAGCUGCGAUGCUCGUUCCACACAGGACCGUCCCCUAGGACAUCCACACUCACGAGCGGGUUAAGGUCUGAGCAUUCUAAUCAUUCUUGAUCGGUCCUAGCAGGAUCUGGCUGUAACCGGCCAAGCAGCGUAUCAGAAAUCCGACCGCCCUCAUCUUUGCCCGAAGAUGCUUCGCCUCGUUGUGAAACGGAGGGUUAAUGUGGGAUCUGGUCUUGGAAUUCGCUGCAGUGAUUGGGUGGUGCCGGUCCACUGCUGAGCAUCUCGCUUGGCAGUCCUCACCAUCCUUCAGCUCACUUCGCAGUGCAUGUAUAACCUCUACUCUCGGUGGAGGUUUCGUUGUAACUCGAUUCAGACUACUCUUCGUCUGUC